rnacentral:rRNA from 1 species
AUUGAACGCUGGCGGCAUGCCUUACACAUGCAAGUCGAACGGUAACAGGUCUUCGGAUGCUGACGAGUGGCGAACGGGUGAGUAAUACAUCGGAACGUGCCUAGUAGUGGGGGAUAACUACUCGAAAGAGUGGCUAGUACCGCAUGAGAUCUACGGAUGAAAGCAGGGGAUCGCAAGACUUUGUGCUACUAGAGCGGCCGAUGGCAGAUUAGGUAGUUGGUGGGAUAAAAGCUUACCAAGCCGACGAUCUGUAGCUGGUCUGAGAGGACGAUCAGCCACACUGGGACUGAGACACGGCCCAGACUCCUACGGGAGGCAGCAGUGGGGAAUUUUGGUCAAUGGGCGCAAGCCUGAUCCAGCAAUGCCGCGUGCAGGAUGAAGGCCUUCGGGUUGUAAACUGCUUUUGUACGGAACGAAAAGCCUUGGGUUAAUACCCUGGGGUCAUGACGGUACCGUAAGAAUAAGCACCGGCUAACUACGUGCCAGCCGCCGCGGUAAGAC